AUAGCUGAAUGGCAAAGCACUUGUCUGGCAAGCAUGGGGUCAUGAGUUCGAGUCUUGGUU
rnacentral:tRNA from 1 species